AGGGGUCUAUUCGUCAGUCAAAACGUUAAUCUUGAAGGAGCAAAGGUUUGUUCAUGAGCUGUCAUGCUCCCUAGGCGAAGCCCACGUGUUUUAAAAAAACGGAAAAAAAAACGGAAAAAAAAAGAAAGAAAAAAAACGGAAAACGAAAAAAAAACGAAAAACGAAAAAAAAACGGAAAAAAAAACGAAAAAAAAACGAAAAACGAAAAUAAAAAAAUAAAAAAAUAAAAAUAAAAAUAUAAAUAAAUAAAUAAAUAAAUAAAAGAAAAAAUCUUGGACUUGG
rnacentral:lncRNA from 1 species